AUUAUUUGUACGGACAGGAAAAUGUUUAUAGCUUUUUAUGGUAUAUUGUUUCGAAGACCAUUUGAUUCUGGAGAGUCCCUCCACCUCUAAUUAAAUUUUCCUUUUUUUUUGACACUAAAACUCACAACAGAACUUAAUCAGAAAAAGAAGACAAAAUGUUCAGUUCCAUUCUUUCUGCCUUUAUUAGAGCUGAAAUUACAAUGUCAGCUACCAUAGAUACCACUUGCAAGUAUCUACACAGGUAUCUAGAAUUUCUCAAGGCACUUGUUGAAUCCAUAAUACAUAUAUAUAUGCAUACAUUAAAAAGAACCUCAUAGGAUUUGGAAUUAUCAACAAGGAGGCAUUAAAAAUGCUCUGCAUCAGUGGACGGACAUUAUGGCAAGCAAAGCUCCAGGGAAGAUGUUCAUACCUCUGGUACAAAUUAUACACUAACAAAACUCUGAAGAGAUCACAGCAAACACAUGACUAUGCAUAAGUUUCAACAUCAUGAGUUCCAAGGGCUUCCAUAGUUCACCAUAUCCCUGAGAAGCACAACCUCCCAAAUGUUGGGUCUGGUCAACUGCAAUGUGAAGAAGCCACAUCUCAUUGCAGAAGCAAAGUAACUAGUACUAUACUAGCUAGAGCAUCG